ACGGCCUCUGAGUGGUCCAGGCGUUGAUAGGCAGAAUCUCCUCAUGGCAGGGCGUGGUUAUGACUGAGUUUAUAUUCAACUCGUUGAUUAUAUACUCCGGCUUGUACCACCAUGCUUCGGCGUUAGCCAGCUCAGCGUCAAUAUGGGAAGGCAAAACUCUAUUGUCCUUGAAAUGGUAAUAAUUUUCCGAUUCCUUAGUUGUAACAAUGAUACGUUUGAGCCACUUGACCAUUCUACCCCCG
rnacentral:misc_RNA from 1 species